AUACGGAGGAUGCGAGCGUUAUCCGGAUUUAUUGGGUUUAAAGGGUGCGUAGGCUGUGCGUUAAGUCAGGGGUGAAAUGCCGUCGCUCAACGACGGAGCUGCCCUUGAUACUGGCGUGCUGGAGUACGGAUGCCGUUGGAGGAAUGAGUGGUGUAGCGGUGAAAUGCUUAGAUAUCACUCAGAACACCGAUUGCGAAGGCAUCUGACGAAUCCGUCACUGACGCUGAGGCACGAAAGCGGGGGGAUAGAACAGGAUUAGAUACCCUGGUAUUCCACGCCGUAAACGAUGAUGACUAACCGUCGGCGAUAGACAGCCGGUGGCCAAGCGAAAGCGAUAAGUCAUCCACCUGGGGAGUACGUCGGCAACGAUGAAACUCAAAUGAAUUGACGGGG
rnacentral:rRNA from 1 species